UGUACUGGUACACUUUUUCGUGUACCGGUACACUUUGGCAGAUUGCGAACUGGCAGUUCUGCAGGGGUGUUUUCGCUAUUGUAGCAAUGCUACAUAUGCCCGACGUCUCUUUGCUGGUCUCCUGAGCUGGGAAACACAGGAGGACAAGGAGAAGUCUUGAAGCUAGGAGCAAGGUUUGUUUGAGGGAAGGAUCUCAACCCUAGCUGGUUUCUAGGGUGGGUUGAAGCUUCUAAAGAGGUGGGAUUGGAAGGGUUCUAGCUUCCAUUUGGAGCUUGUGAAGGAAUUUCUUCACUAUAGGUGAGUUUUUGCUCUUUUGUCGAGUUGGUUAUUGAUUGAACUAUGUGUUGUUCGUAACGUUCGUGUGACACUCCUAGUUUAACCUUUAGGGAGCUAGGAAGCUUGUGGGCACCUUCGUCGGCGCAAACGAAGGCCGCGUGGAACUCUUGGUGGGUUUGGCCUCACCAAAACGGGAUAAAUCAUCCCUAUAAUGAUUUUUACUUAUCGUAAAAUAAAGAUACAUGCAUAUUCAUGCAAGAUAGAUUAUUUGUGAAUUUUAGAAUAUAUAAAAUGCACAUGUUAUGUAAAAUGUAUUUUUGGACCUCUAUGUAGUAGAGAGUUUGCAUGUUGGGCUUGAGCCUAUGGUUAGCACUCCUAUGUGUGAAUUUGGAUCAUAUUUCAUAUAGUGAAAAUGACAAUUGCAUUCUUGAA